UGUCAAGAAGGUAACCUGAACAGUGAAGAAGAAACUAGCAGAAAAAGGGUGGGGAAAUGCAAGAUUAAACACAGAAGGGUGGAGCCAUCAGAACUUAAACAGCAGUAGCACUUCCUACUCUGCUAGGCCACAGUCUUCUGCUGACUUGUCUUCCCCAUAUUUUACAUUCAAAACUGAAGUUCUGUUUUUUUCUGGAAGCCGCCCUGGACAGCAGUUAACAGGACGCCCCAAUUGGCCAAAAAAAACCCCAGCAUAAAAGGCUGAAGAAGAACAGAGGCUACUGAAAACAGAAAGAAAAAAAACGAUUCCCCCAGAGAAAAGCUAUUGUUAUCUAAGCACCUACUCAUAGACAAUGCAGCCAUGUAUCAUCAUGUGGCAAGAAUAAAAAUGCUGUAAUGUCUCAUCUUUAGCAAGCCACCCACCACCCUCCCUAUUGUCCUAGGGAUACAAGGAAGAAUUAGAUCACUGGCAAACACCCUUGGAUUAACAGCUAAAUGAAGGCCCCAAGUGAAUUAUUCAUUCCAUAGCUCAUUCUCUGCCUUGUGCAAUGAAAACAGAAAGAAAUACCCCGAUACACACAAAGCUGGACCACUCGUUGCUGCAACUUUGUUUGUUUGGCAAGUAGCAAGGAAACUUGAUGCCACCCCCCUGGAUAUACACUUUAUCCGUCUCUGCAAUUCAGUUCUGACAGCUUGGCUGCUAAAGAUGUGUUAUGUUCCGAAUACCGUAUAAUAACAAACUGCCAAAAAGGUAAACCGUAGCAUUUUCCCAUGAAACAAGUGUAGACUAGUGCAGCUUCAUCCUCUGCUGAAUCAUCCAUACAGAAAGACAGAAUUCUAUACAGGAACUAUACCAGUUGGGGGCAACAUUUUUGGCAGGCGUGCCACAAAAUGCCAGAGCAGAAACGAAAGGACAGUGGCUCUGUUCAAGUUUCUAUCAGCAGCUUAAAACCACUUUGCCAACAUUUGUAGGCAUAUUUGCAAUACAUAAUGGAAUAUGAGGGAUUUCAAGUGACAGGCACACCCAGAAAGAUGUUUGAAGUUAUGGGUUAAACCCAGAGGCUGUUCCCAGCUUGAGCCAGGAACAAAAUGCGCACAGCUUGACUGGAGCGUCAGUGGAUAUGAGGCAGGGACCACAUUCUGUUCCAAUCAAGUGCUAGGACACAAGCGAGCCAUAAAAUGCGAGAUACGUUCCCCGAUUCCAGCCAGGGAGCAUGAUCAACCACAAAGCGAUCAGCUCCUGGUCCUGCUUCUUCCAAAAACAAACAAACCCCGAUCUGAAGUAACCACCAGAAACCCAUACUGCAGGCUUAUGCCAGCUACAAAGCAGAAAAGGCUAAGAUGCUGUCUGCCAAGGACACCUUUACUUCCUUAGCCUGCCAGUGAAGGGGCCGUUCGGAGAGAGAAGUGAAGAAUGGAGAAGAGCUGCCACCCUCCAGCACGCAUCUGUAUCAGUCAUGACUGCUUAGGCUCUCUGCCUCAGGAAUAUGCACAAAUUUGCCACAGCCCAAGUUUCCAUCCCGCCACUAUGCCUCAAUACAUUCCUAUGUUCUAGUGGAUGAAACAUAAGCCUGCACUUGCGCCAGCAUUUGGCGAAGGCUCACACUGAUAUCUACUUUACGAUCACGCAGGACAUGAGGCUAGAAGGGACUUCCUGGGUCAGAGUCCAGCCCUUGUUGUAUUGCAGGCAACCACAUCAUAUAAUCCAUUUCAUAAGUUUAUCAUGCUCCACCCUAAAACUACCUGUGACGAUCAUCCUACUACCUUUAUGGGAAGUCUGUUCCAAAACCUCACCCCUCCGAUGACUAGAAACACUCUACUCAUCUCCCGUAUAUAUAUUUGUGACCAACUUAUGCCUGCUUGUUCUUGUGCCAAUAUUGUCACUGCUUUAACUAGCUCUUUUCCCUUUCUGGUUCCCAGAAUACAUGCAAUAUUUCCAAUAAAGUCUCAUGGGUGCUUUCUA